rnacentral:rRNA from 1 species
GAUGAACGCUGGCGGCGUGCCUAAUACAUGCAAGUCGAGCGAAUGGAUUAAGAGCUUGCUCUUAUGAAGUUAGCGGCGGACGGGUGAGUAACACGUGGGUAACCUGCCCAUAAGACUGGGAUAACUCCGGGAAACCGGGGCUAAUACCGGAUAACAUUUUGAACGGCAUGGUUCGAAAUUGAAAGGCGGCUUCGGCUGUCACUUAUGGAUGGACCCGCGUCGCAUUAGCUAGUUGGUGAGGUAACGGCUCACCAAGGCAACGAUGCGUAGCCGACCUGGGAGGGUGAUCGGCCACACUGGGACUGAGACACGGCCCAGACUCCUACGGGAGGCAGCAGUAGGGAAUCGUCCGCAAUGGACGAAAGUCUGACGGAGCAACGCCGCGUGAGUGAUGAAGGCUUUCGGGUCGUAAAACUCUGUUGUUAGGGAAGAACAAGUGCUAGUUGAAUAAGCUGGCACCUUGACGGUACCUAACCAGAAAGCCACGGCUAACUACGUGCCAGCCGCCGCGGUAA